rnacentral:misc_RNA from 1 species
AAAGAAAUAUUUGUACAAAUAUAAAUCGCUAGUGACUAUUAACAUCGUCGGAACUGCAAAAUUGCAUUUUUUUAUUUAUUUCAUAGAACGUUCCCAAAUAACCAAGUCUAUCAUCAGCUGAAGAGAAAUUUUUUAUUUUAUGCAUAUAUUAUUUAGUUGUGGUACUUCUGACAAAUCAGUACCUAUUAGUCUUAAUCUGUUAAAAAUGUAACAAGUGACUUUUCUCAUAUUUACACAUUAAAUACCGGCUACCUGUACAGCAUUACUUUAAAAUUUCAUGAUCCUGCUUAAAAUAAGUAAAAAGAUACACGCCAUUUACACUUUGAAUCGCUCUCCUGUAAAGUUGCUGUUUUUCACAUCCGACGUUUUUAAUAGUCAUAGGUGAAAUAUCCUUCCCGAGCUGGAAU